UUUAAGGAAGUCGCUCGUGUGUCCAAUGCGUAUGAUACGCUUUCUCAUCGCAUUUUCAGCUGAUUGGAUUUACAACGAUCCACGUUUGGAGAUGGGUUAUGUCUCGACCCAACAGCUGAUUUGGUGCUCGAUCUGGUAACCCUGCUUCGCUGAGGAAAUUCUCAAAUGGUGGCGAACGAAUAUGGAGAUCAGAGGCUGUUCACAUGUGAUCGUAAUCCGGAUUUUGUUGAUUUCUGUGAUGUUAACCAGCCAGGCCAUCCAGCUAUCAUCAAGAUGAUAGAAGGUUAUCUAUUGCAAAAAAAGGUUGAUAUAUGUGUAUUUGCUUUUGAUGUCAUGCUUGCUAAUGGGGAACAGUAAUCAUCUUUGAUCCUGCUCUUAGAUAUUUUAUGAAUUUUUAAUUUUAAUUCACUGAACUGUAAAAAUGUAAAAAUGAUAGUGGUUAAACUUUUCACAUGCACUUUUAUGGCAGGCUGUUGGGUUUACUUUUGCGUCAAAGAAGAAAAUGUGAGAUCACUGAUUUGUAUAUGUUUUUAUAGUUCAUCUAACUAGGCCUAAUGCAUUAGUGUUACU
rnacentral:lncRNA from 1 species